rnacentral:rRNA from 1 species
UAUUGCACAAUGGGGGAAACCCUGAUGCAGCAACGCCGCGUGAGUGAUGACGGUCUUCGGAUUGUAAAGCUCUGUCUUCAGGGACGAUAAUGACGGUACCUGAGGAGGAAGCCACGGCUAACUACGUGCCAGCAGCCGCGGUAAUACGUAGGUGGCAAGCGUUGUCCGGAUUUACUGGGCGUAAAGGGAGCGUAGGUGGAUAUUUAAGUGGGAUGUGAAAUACUCGGGCUUAACCUGGGUGCUGCAUUCCAAACUGGAUAUCUAGAGUGCAGGAGAGGAAAGUAGAAUUCCUAGUGUAGCGGUGAAAUGCGUAGAGAUUAGGAAGAAUACCAGUGGCGAAGGCGACUUUCUGGACUGUAACUGACACUGAGGCUCGAAAGCGUGGGGAGCAAACAGG